UUACAGAUAGUAACGGUGAUAUGUGAUUGUAAUGUAAUGUCACAGAUGUUUUAUUGCCUCUGACUUUCUUUAUGGUCACUCAUUUGAAAUGUUAAUACAGACCAUCUCAGAGUGCGGCUUUUUUAAAUUUUAUCCGAUGAUGCCGUGAUUAUAAAAUAAAUGGUUGGGAAUGACUGCCUAGUUAACGGGUAGUAUUUAUGUGUUUCAUUCAGAUUUCAUACCCAUUCCAUUGUCUGAUAACAGAGACAGGAAAUGAUGUAAAUGAAAACAACUAAAUUGUGACUUUAACUGCAUUAAAACACAUUACAGAUGAACAGAGACAACAGGAGAUCCAUCCUUUCUCCCUUCACUCACUAAUUACAGUACAAACACUAAGAAAUAGUUUUGCUGUUGUAAAGUCAGUAACAAAUGAAAUGCAUCAUUAAAUAUUUAAAUUAAAUCAAUUUCACGCUUCUGAGACGUGAGCAAAACAAAGUGGAAACACAACGCAGCCGGAUCCGGUGGACGUUGGUCGUUUACUUUGGUUUUGUGGUACAUGUUGAAAGUGCUACACAAUGAGUUUAAGGGAAUUUAAGAUAUAAAUCUGCUUAUUACUGUUAUUUUUCCCAAACUAAUAUGUGAUUGCAUAAACUGGGUGAUGUGAUAAACAAUGAGUUCCUGGGGUGAUGAACAUCAUCAAAUGAGAAGAAAUUAAUUUAAAUACAUGAUUAAUAAUUUUUCCCCUCAGGGGACAAACAAGAUUGUUUGGGAUUUUUAAUUUGUUGUACUCAUCAGUAACAUUUUGUGCAUUGUAAUUUAUUCAGCUGGCGUUGCAUUAGUCAUUCCGUGACCUCACUGCAGCCCGGUGGUGCUGCCGAAGGUUUAAAUGAUUGGUUUUAAAUGAUUAAUGCCCAGGCGCUCUGUGUAGAGACACCUAAUGAUAAUUAAUGAACUUCAUUUAUGUAAAUCAAAUGCAGUUUGUCUAUGUUUCAAAUACGUUUUGGUGUUUGCAAAGUCAAUCAACAUCUCCAGAACAUUUUUUUGCUUAAAUUAAGAUGAUUAAAGUACUUAAUUAGCCAUCCCCACAGGAGGUACAUGUAAAUUUAGACCUGGCUGUAUAACAAUUUUGUAAAAUAAUUACAAUAAAAAUGCAAAUGCAUGAAA